AAAAGCUUCCUUUGACUAGACAACCCAGGUCCAUAUCCAAGAUCCCAGAACUGAGUUUUCCUAGUCUCUGACAAGUGAAAGGAUGGAGAAGCCCCUGAGAGCCUCAUUUGUGAUGCUGUGUCUUCAUGUGAGCUGGUUGAGCGGCCAACAGACGGUGGAGCAGAGUCCUCUGACCCUGAAGGUCCAGGAGGGAAAGAAUACUGCUUUCAAUUGCAGUUACUCAUACAGUGCUUCCAAAGGACUUCAGUGGUUUAAGCAAAAUCUUGGGAAAGGCCUCACCUCCCUAUUUUUCAUGUCUUCUGAGGGGAAGGAGAGAGGAAGGUUAAGAUCCACAAUCAACAGGAAGGAACGUUUCAGCACCCUGUACAUCAGAGGCUCCCAGCCAGGAGAUUCAGGCACCUACCUCUGUGGUGUGGAGGCACAGUGA